rnacentral:misc_RNA from 1 species
GUAUUAAACUUUUUUUUUAUCACAUACAAAAACUGGAUCGCGUCAAAAAAAUGACAGUGCACAAGUGUUGAAUUCACAAGAGUGAAGGGGUCGCUCGAAAGCCAACGCCCAAUUCAUUAAUGAUCCUUCCGCAGGUUCACCUACGGAAA